UACGUAGGAGACGAGCGUUAUCCGGAUUUACUGGGCGUAAAGCGCGUGUAGGAGGCUGACCAAGUUGGAUGUAAAAUCUCCCGGCUUAACUGGGAGGCGUCGUUCAAAACUGUAAAGCUAGAGUAGUGUAGAGGUAAUCGGAACUCCGGGAGUAGCGGUGAAAUGCGUAGAUAUCCGGAAGAACACCAGAGGCGAAAGCGGAUUACUGGACACCAACUGACACUGAGACGCGAAAGCCAGGGUAGCAGCC
rnacentral:rRNA from 1 species